rnacentral:lncRNA from 1 species
GAUGGAGAGGCAUGAAGCAGUAGGGAGCUGCUGCGACGAGCAACAACAACAUCGCAGCAACAGCUAUGGCGGAUGGCAGCAGCUGGUCGAGGAGAUGGAAGAUGCAGCAGCGGCGCGUCGAUGAGGUUGGAAUCUUGAAGCAGCGACACUGCUUGGCGCAGCCAUGGCUGCUCAUCGUAGCUGGACGCGGGCAGCAGCAACGACUAGGAAGUAGCAGCGACGAGGUGGAGGACCAAGCCAUGGUCGACACAGCAGAAGGAGUAGAAGAAGAAGCUGCGACAGCAGCGGCGUGGGCAGCGAUGGGGUUUGUUUGCUCGAUGAUGGGGUGUUUGGCGAUAAUAGAAGCUUGACGAAGCAUCACUAGCAACGUCCAUGGUGGGUUGUGAAACUUCACGAGAUGGAGAGCUGCUGGACAUCAAGCAGCAGCGUAAGGUGAAGGAAGAAGAAGAAAAAAAAAACAGCAACGUUUGGAGCUUUGACGAGGAAGAAGAAGGCGCAACGUUGUAACCAUGGGAGCUCGACGUGACCGGAGGAGCUUGGGCGUUCAUGGCUUGGGUAGGCGGACUGGAGGGUGGUCGAUGUUGGGCAGCCAUGGUUGAGCUUUGAGGGGGAAGCCAUGGAUGACCUUGG